rnacentral:misc_RNA from 1 species
AUGUGUAAUAAUUGGAAUGUGCUGUUUCCGUGCGAUUCGUGUGCAUAUUUACAUAGCGGAGUGUAAUAAAUUGUGAUUUCCUUGAUCAGCGGAAGGAAUAGAUCCGAGUGGAAGGCAAUAGCGGGUGCUAGUCCUUGAGGUUGAGUGUCGAGCGAAACAGUUUCACCAGGUGAUUUCACGAAGGUGCGAAAAGGCGGGAGUUCAGCCGGUUAAUAGACUCCCGCUUGAAUUGGCCGCUUUUCGAUUCGCGGAAAAUCUGCGUUUUCCUCUUCGAGAUUUUCCUAAUCUGAGAGUUUUCGUCGCGGUUGUGGGGCAUCUGUGGUGUUUCAUACGAGUGGUUUGUGCCCAAGGCGAAGAAGUUGGUUAACACUCAGCUGAUAGAAGGACGACGAUGACCCACCAGACGGUGGCUCACGAAUUGUUGCGCGCGAUAUGACAAAUGCGUCCCGGCGGCGCGGUUAAUUGUACUAACGAUCCCCGUCACGCUUGGCCCUGAAUAGUAGUUUGUGACCGUUAACGGCGCCCUCUAAAAAAUUGCAGUGAAAGGAUUACAAAAAGGAUUGCUUGGUGACGGAAACCAGCUUGGAAUCUAGUGUCGAGUCCUUUUCAGAUAUUUGAAUAAGAUGAGUGAAAGGUGCCCCUAAAAUACUAGAAAAUUGUGAAUUGGAAAUUAUAUUUUCGCCCAGGAGCCAAUUCCCCGAAAUACUACAGGAAAAAAAAGUGAAAAAUCGUUUUCCCAAUUGAGUGCCGUGCGCGGUUCUAACGUUGGUCCGUUCGCUUUCUGUGUGUGAACUUUCUGUGCUGAAGUAAAAAGUUAUUUUUAGUUUUUAUUUCUUUUCUCGGUUUGAUCUUUUUUUCAUUUUAAAUGUUGUACAACGCGCUGGCUACUGUUGCCAUUGCCGUUUCUCCCGCUUCACGCCGCAUUCAUCAGAAUAAAGUCUAGAAGGAAAGGCAGCGGAAAAAAUACACAAUACGAAAAGUGAUGCUCUGAGACGGCGAGACGACGGGACGGAAUCGAACCCAAUCCGAAAUAAAUAGAAAAAAACACUCGACAUUUAUCUUGUGACGAAAAUUUCAAUUUUAGAUAAAUACAAGCGAGAAAAUAGAUGAAAAGCUCCCGCGAACAGGGAAAAUAAUCCAAAACAAUUCGCGGGAAUUGAUCGCAAAAAAUUCUACCAGGGAAGAGUUGCGAGAGUUGUGUAAAGAAAUUCCCGCUUAAAACUUUCGAAACUUUCAAACCAUCUCGAAAACAUAUUUUUUUCCUGCAGAACGAGGAACCCUUAAACUGUCGUUCAUGGAUUGCGAGUACUCGAAAUUGUUUUAUAAACACGGUGUAGUUGGAACCGGCACCAUAACCUCACCGUGGACAUCAGUAAGUGCCGGUCCAUCGGGUCCGUUGGGGCCGGCAGACACCAACGGUACCAUGACAGAUAGCAAAAAUUUGGAUGUGGGGGACAUGAGCGAUGACGACAAGGAUCUCUCGUCGGCAGACGCGGAAGGAGUAUGGAGCCCCGAUAUUGAACAGAGCUUUCAAGAAGCAUUAGCCAUAUAUCCGCCAUGUGGAAGGCGAAAAAUUAUAUUAUCAGAUGAAGGAAAAAUGUAUGGACGAAAUGAACUGAUAGCGCGGUACAUAAAACUUCGAACGGGAAAAACGAGAACACGGAAACAAGUCAGCUCACACAUUCAAGUACUGGCAAGAAGAAAAUUACGGGAAAUCCAAGCUAAAUUAAAAGUCGAUCAUAUUGGCAACAAGGAGAAAGCCCUUCAGACAAUGUCGAGUAUGUCUAGUGCUCAAAUUGUUGAUGUGACAACAGGCAAAGGUCUAACAUUGACUGGACCACCACCUCCUCAUCAUCCCCUGCAUCCAUCAUUACCUUAUCAUCGUCCUCCUCAAUUUUGGCAGCCAGGACUUCAGGCGAGUACUUCACAAGAUAUUAAGCCUUUUGCACAACCACCAUAUCCCUCCGGUAAACCAUCAACAGCUGUUUCUGGUGAUAUCGAAGCAGGUCUUCCACCAGCGCAACCUUCAUGGGAAGGUCGAACGAUAGCAACGCACAAAUUUAGACUGUUAGAGUUCUCAGCGUAUGUGGAAAUCCAAAGAGAAGAGCUUUACCACAAGCAUAUGUUUGUCCACAUAGCAAGUAAGCCACCCACGUAUACAGAUCCAAUGUUAGAGUCGAUCGAAAUUAAACAAAUAUCAGAUAAAUUCCCUGAAAAAACUGGCGGCCUUAAAGAUUUAUACGAAAAGGGACCGCAAAAUGCUUUCUAUUUAGUGAAAUGUUGGGCCGAUUUAAAUACAAAUGUUAUAGAUGAAGCGGGUGCCUUUUAUGGUGUUUCAAGCCAGUAUGAAAGCAACGAAAGCGUAGUAUUAACAUGCUCAACAAAAGUGUGUUCAUUUGGCAAACAAGUAGUGGAGAAAGUCGAAACGGAAUACCCCCGAAUAGAAAACAAUCGGUUUUUCUAUCGUAUACAUAAAUCACCGAUGUGCGAAUAUAUGAUAAAUUUCAUACAAAAACUUAAAAAUCUACCCGAACGGUAUAUGAUGAACAGUGUAUUAGAGAAUUUUACAAUAUUACAGGUUGUUUCGAACAAGGACACACAAGAAACACUUUUGUGUAUAGCGUUCGUAUUUGAAGUGGCCGCAUCAAAUCACGGUGCACAACAUCAUAUCUAUAGGCUAGUAAAGGAAUAGCAUGAACUGAAUGAAUGUAUGCAAUCCCCAUCAUCGAUAUUUACUUAUAACAAAGAUAAAGUUCAAAUUUGUAAUAUACAACAACAACAGCAACAAGACGACGUGAUAGAAGGGAGAGCAACUGCAGCAGAUGCAUCUGAGUCGGGAACAGCAGUAGGAAUCCUAAUUGCAUCAUCAGUAAAAUCGGCGAUCACAGAGAAUUUGCAUAUUAACAAUAGCAACAGUAACAUUUUCUUGAAACAACAUAAUCAUCAUUUUGGCGGCAUAAAAUCCAGUGAUGAUGGCGACAAUACACCACAGACACAUAUUGACGAUAUAAGAAGGAAAGAUUCAGUCUAGAAAAAUCAGUUUAGGAAAAUGCAGGUGCAUGCACUUGUACGGAAUGCAUUCUGCAGCAUGGAAAUUUCUAUUUCGAAUGGAAAAUGUAUGAAUGUAUAAUUGGAAAACGACUAUUCAAGUAAUUUAUUUAUUGGAUUCUUGUUUCGAUAUAGUUUUACGGCAAGCAUAAAGUUUGCAAUGCCAUAAGGAAGGAGAGUAGUUUGUAAAGAAUCUUGAAUAUGUUUGUUUGUUACUAAGAAGGAUCCCAUAGAAUAGUUUUGUGGUGAAAUGGAAUGUCUAGAUUCAGUAAUAGUUGUAAAGUCCGGCCCAAAUGCAUUCCUGGAAGUUUCGAUUGCAAUGGAAUCGUUUAGCAUGAAAAGUUAAUCAAUCGUCUAUGAACGGUUUGUCCUGGGACCCGAAUAUAUUUGCGAUGCUGUUCAUAGUUUCGCAAUAUAUUCCAAUUCUAAGAAUGCCUUCCAUGAUGCUGAUCAUUCAGAGAUUUGAUUGAACCAAUUAGUUUCGAACAGGAAGACCAAAUUGCAUCGACCCAGAGGAAACAUCUAUAGAAUUCCAUUUCGCCAUUCUAGAUGGAAAUUUGAUUUCACCGAAGAAAGUUCAAAACAGGACAUAUCCGACAAAUCUAAUCAUACAUUCACUCACUCUCUCUAUCUUUACAAAUCUGCUAAAGUUGUGAUAUAAAUCUUUUUAAAAAAUUGUAACUAAAGACCACGGACACACCCGAACUAAAUCCUAAAUGUUGAGAGCUGAAAGGAAGAGGUUGGAACCAAUUUGAAGGAGAGGCAGAAUGUUAAAUUUGCAAACUAGUUUCACACUAAGAUACCAAGUCCAGAGAUGAGUACUGAAGAGGGAAAAGAUAGAAGUUUCAUUGGAACGGAAGA